AGUUUGAUCCUGGCUCAGAACGAACGCUGGCGGCAGGCUUAACACAUGCAAGUCGAACGCAUCGCAAGAUGAGUGGCAGACGGGUGAGUAACGCGUGGGAACAUACCCUUUUCUACGGAAUAGCUCUGGGAAACUGGAAUUAAUACCGUAUACGCCCUACGGGGGAAAGAUUUAUCGGGGAAGGAUUGGCCCGCGUUGGAUUAGCUAGUUGGUGGGGUAAAGGCCUACCAAGGCGACGAUCCAUAGCUGGUCUGAGAGGAUGAUCAGCCACAUUGGGACUGAGACACGGCCCAAACUCCUACGGGAGGCAGCAGUGGGGAAUAUUGGACAAUGGGCGCAAGCCUGAUCCAGCCAUGCCGCGUGAGUGAUGAAGGCCUUAGGGUUGUAAAGCUCUUUCACCGAUGAAGAUAAUGACGGUAGUCGGAGAAGAAGCCCCGGCUAACUUCGUGCCAGCAGCCGCGGUAA
rnacentral:rRNA from 1 species